rnacentral:rRNA from 1 species
CACGUAGGUGGUCAGGCAAGUCGGGUGUGAAAGCCCUGGGCUCAACCUGGGAAUUGCAUUCGAAACUAUCUGACUCGAGUAUGGGAGAGGGAAGCGGAAUUUCCGGUGUAGCGGUGAAAUGCGUAGAUAUCGGAAGGAACACCAGUGGCGAAGGCGGCUUCCUGGACUAAUACUGACACUGAGGUGCGAAAGCGUGGGGAGCAAACA